AAUACGUACGCGAUAGCGUUGGGUGGUGGGCCUUCGCGCGGGGGAGAGUUGACGGAUCUGACGAUAGUUUGGACGGCCGUCAGUCUCCGGCGAGGUGGGCCGUGGAACAGAAUCGGUGUUCCCCGUCUGAUGACAAUCGCUGAGGACUGUGGGUACGGUGUGGGCCAUUUGGGGGAAGCUGAGGACUGCGGCACAGAGGCGAUGAGCGCCGGCGGCGAGACAACAUGGAGUUCUGAUGCAGCCUAUCAGCAGUUUCAGAUCCAGUCUGCUGGAGGAGGUCGGGGAGAGCUUGGUGCCGGCUGCUAGUUGUCGUUGUCUUUGGUGUGGGGGAUUUGUAGGCGGUACCGCGGGCUGAGGCGACGCGGCACACCAGCGGACAGCGGAUAGCGGUGGUGAGCACAAGGGAGAGCUCGCCGCCGAUGUCGGAGCUGUCAACGGGGAAGACGAAUCCCCGAGCACUGGGGUGGAACCAGAGGCUAAGGAUUGGUAUUGCCUCCCCGAGCAAAACACCGCGCCUAAACCGAGUAAGUAUGUUCGAAAAGGCAGUCAGGUGUUUUGCGGAGAACCCAACUGAAAAUGUGACGACACUGGUUCUUGGCACUACUUUCAACUCUGUGGCCGAGGCAUACAAUUUCUACAGUUUGUGUUCAUGGGAAAAGGGGUUUGCCAUCCGGUAUGGCAAGAGCCGGCUAAAUGUCGAGAGGACGAAGUGCAUGCAGGAGAUAGUUUGUGGGUGCUUGGGUAAGGCUGGGGUUGAGAACACAAGGUCUUGCCGUGGCCCAUAACGUUACAUUCUGUCUGGCUGCGGGGACAGGAACUUCACUUUUCCAUUCGACAGAAGGUUGCAAUUAUCCAGUUUUUCCUAGACAGAAGAGAAGCUGGGGCGGCGGCGUCCUUGCGUAGGAGGGCGACGCCAUUGAAGACAUGGAAUUCUUUCUACAGCCAGUUAAAAGGAUUCCAAUCCUUGAGGGGAUGGAUGGCACCGAUAGCCUGAUGGAUGGCACCGACCCUUGGAGCUCCACUGCUGGCAGCCAUGAGUCAUAAGAAGUGGAAGUGAUGAGUGGGAGCCGUAGCUCCUAGAUGUGGAUGCCGGACACCAGUUAACGGGAAGCGCAGCUCUCCGACUAUAUCUCAGCAAUCGAUGGGGAAGGUGAAUCCAGAGACUCCUGGAUGGACAAAAAGGGUAACGAUUGGUGUGGCUGCGUAAAGGAGGACACCUUGUCCUAAUCGCCCAAGUUCGUUGGAGAAAGCAAUUCGUGGGUUCGCUGAGAAUCCAGGGGAAAAUGUGAUUGUACUGAAACUGGGUAUAAGAUUUGAUCUUUAGGUGAAGCAUACAACUUGUACUCCUGCGGGAAGGGGUUUGGUAUUACAUAUUGGAAAAGCAGACUAAAUGUUUAGAGGACAAAAUGCAGGCAGGAAAUCAUUUGCAGCUGUGCGGGAAGGCUGGCGUUGAGAACAGUCGGUCAUGCCAUUGUGAGUGUUGGGCUCUUAUACGAUUGUUGCGAUCGAAAGGCAAUGGUUGGUGCAUAUCAGAGCAUCGGGAGCAACACAUCCAAUCUUUGUCUCCUAAUUGCGGAGAGACAAUACACUGCCUUCACACAAACACAUCGACGUUUACAACCGAGACUGGUGAAGCAGCUACGGCAAAAUAACGUCAAUCUAGCCAAGGUAUACAACAUCAUAGAGAGUUUUUUCACCAAGCGAGCUCUCCAUAAAUUGUGUGGGGAAAUAAACCAUGAGCAGGCAUAGGACGAUGUGAGCAAAACUAUAGGUUUUCACUGAACUGGGUGCAAAGGAUCGACAUUUCACGUAUCUUGUGCAGGCUGAUAAGGAAGGUGAAUCAGUAAAAUUUGGGUGAAUGGGAGCAGUAGAUUGCAGUAAAAUUUUGAGGAUAACACAAAAAAAAUCAAAAUUUUAACAACAAGGGCAGGAGGUUUGCCCAAGCUGUGUAGUGUAUAAGCAGGGGGGUGAGGGGUAGGUGAGGGGCACACUCUGAUUUCAGUCAUCCACGUGAAGCUGUAGUUGGACUAAGAUCAAGUUUCAGUGGGAGGUGAAAUAGAGUGAAUGGCUCUGACCGACUUAUCUAGCGCCUCCUCUGUGGCUACGGGUUUCAAAAUAUACUGAACUGAUUAUAGAUGAUUCUGAUUAACAGCUGUAAGUUCAGAGCAUUAGCUCAGUUCC